UAUAUAUAUAUAUAUAUAUAUAUAUAUAUAUAUAUAUAUAUAUAUAUAUAUAUAUAUUUUUAUUUUUUAUUUUUUUUAUUGGGGUAGCCACCAAAAUAUUGGGAAAUAUAAAAAAAGACAAACUCUGUUCCGCAGAGUAGCUGUUGACUCUAGAGAACCUCGGGCCAAUCGCACAUCCCGGCGACUUUGCAUUCGGAUGUCAUCCAUAUCAACUUUCGAUGCCAGUUUCUGCGCCUACCAUGGUGACCUCGGGUAACAGGAAAUCAGGGUUCCAUUCCGUACAGGGACUCUGAGAAAUGGCUAUCACAUGCAAGGAAGGCAGCAGGUGCGCAAAUGACCCACCCCUGAUGCGGGAAGGUAGUGA